GGAAAAGAAACUAACAAGGAUUCCCCUAGUAACGGCGAGUGAAGCGGGAUGAGCUCAAAUUUAAAAUCUGGCUGGUUUACUAGUCCGAAUUGUAGUUUAUAGAAGCGUUUUCGGUGGCAGCCUGGGUAUAAAUCCUUUGGAAUAGGGUAUCAUAGAGGGUGAGAAUCCCGUCUUUGACUCAGUGCAUGCUACUAUGUGAUACGUUUUCAAAGAGUCGAGUUGUUUGGGAAUGCAGCUCAAAAUGGGAGGUAAAUUUCUUCUAAAGCUAAAUACCGGCGAGAGACCGAUAGCGAACAAGUACCGUGAGGGAAAGAUGAAAAGAACUUUGAAAAGAGAGUUAAACAGUGCGUGAAAUUGUUGAAAGGGAAACGUUUGACACCAGUUAUGCGGGUGGAAAAUCAAUCUUUUGCAAUGGCAAGCUGUGGGCGUUCAGACCGCAAGGCUGGCGUUUGCUUCAUUGUUGUUGUAAGUGAUGCACUUUUUCAUUUGCAGGUCAACAUCAGUUUGUUUCGCUGGACAAAACCCCAAGGGAAGGUGGCAGCUUAGGCUGUGUUAUAGCCCUGGGGCGAUACAGUGGAAUGGACUGAGGUUUUCGCAGCGUGUGCUUUCGGGCAAGGUCGACUGGGUGCUAUGGGAUCGUUUGGCGUACAAUGCAUGCAUUUUGCGCUUCGUCUUUUUCAUACUCGCUCAAAUCGUCUCUUCCACGCUUAGGAUGUUGACUUAAUGGUUUUAAACGAC
rnacentral:rRNA from 1 species